rnacentral:rRNA from 1 species
AUCCACCUGGGGAGUACGGCCGCAAGGUUGAAACUCAAAAGGAAUUGACGGGGGCCCGCACAAGCAGUGGAUUAUGUGGUUUAAUUCGAAGCAACGCGAAGAACCUUACCAGUUCUUGACAUCCGACUAACGAAGCAGAGAUGCAUCAGGUGCCCUUCGGGAAAGUCGAGACAGGUGGUGCAUGGUUGUCGUCAGCUCGUGUCGUGAGAUGUUGGGUUAAGUCCCGCAACGAGCGCAACCCUUGCCAUUAGUUGCUACGCAAGAGCACUCUAAUGGGACCGCUACCGACAAGGUGGAGGAAGGUGGGGACGAUGUCAAAUCAUCAUGCCCUUUAUGACCUGGGCUACACACGUAAUACAAUGGCCGUCAACAGAGGGAAGCAAUACCGCGAGGUGGAGCAAAACCCUAAAAACGGUCCCAGUUCGGAUCGCAGGCUGAAACCCGCCUGCGUGAAGUUGGAAUUGCUAGUAAUCGCGGAUCAGCAUGCCGCGGUGAAUACGUUCCCGGGCCUUGUACACACCGCCCGUCACACCAUGGGAGUUUGUAACACCCGAAGUCAGUUGCCUAACCGUAAGGAGGGCGCUGCCGAAGGUGGGAUAAGCGACUGGGGUGAAGUCGUAACAAGGUAGCCGUAU